CCUACGGGCGGCAGCAGUGGGGAAUAUUGGGCAAUGGGCGCAAGCCUGACCCAGCAACGCCGCGUGAAGGAAGAAGGCUCUCGGGUUGUAAACUUCUUUUAACAGGGACGAAGAAAGUGACGGUACCUGAUGAAUAAGCCACGGCUAACUACGUGCCAGCAGCCGCGGUAAUACGUAGGUGGCAAGCGUUAUCCGGAUUUACUGGGUGUAAAGGGGGUGUAGGCGGGAGAGCAAGUCAGACGUGAAACUCCAGGGCUCAACCCUGGAACUGCGUUUGAAACUGUUCUUCUUGAGUGUUGGAGAGGCAGGCGGAAUUCCGUGUGUAGCGGUGAAAUGCGUAGAUAUACGGAGGAACACCAGUGGCGAAGGCGGCCUGCUGGACAGUAACUGACGCUGAGGCGCGAAAGCGUGGGGAGCAAACAGGAUUAGAUACCCUUGUAGUC
rnacentral:rRNA from 1 species